rnacentral:tRNA from 1 species
AGUGUAGCUCAAUUGGUAGAGCGCCGGUCUCCAAAACCGGAGGUUGUGGGUUCGAGCCCCUCCGCU